rnacentral:lncRNA from 1 species
UAAUUUGAAAAAACUGGUUGUGUCAAGAAUGGUAGAAAAUGCCCGGAUAGUGAUGAAGAUGAAAAUUAACAAGCUCGUGCAAUUAAUGAAGAACGGGAACAGCGUGAAACUGCAUUAUGUAGUCUAGCUGAAAUCAAUUUUCCUUGUAACAGUACGCUAAUUUCAGGAUAAACUGGUAUUAGUGCUAGAACUCUACGAAAUUUGCUAUAAAUUGCAACUCAGGAAAUUUUACCUGCUGAUUAUGAACGACGGAUGAUGUUUUGUGAGGACAUGAUGGAACGCAUUAAUCGUGACUAAGAUUUCAUGAUAAAAAUCUUGUUUUGUAAUGAUAUGCCGAUAUGCUGAACACGCCUCGACACUGGGAAUCGAGCGAUUCUCUCAAUUCGCGGAGAUGCCCCCACCGAGUUCCACCUCUCCGAGACAAUACCGGCACACGGAUAUUUAAGAAGGUCGCAAGCAGAAAUCAGUCAGUCCUGAGUCCUGAACGACCGUUCUGGGCUCCAUAACCAGCCAAGCGAAGUGAGCGAGGCAGGCCGACCUGAGUCGCGACGUGCACCGUUUUGACGUGAUUCGCAAACUUAGGCAGGCCAACUCGAGACGCAAGGUGUACCGAAGUGAGACGCCUAUCCGGGGGAGCUAGUCGCUGGGACGGAAUAGAAAACUGAAUUAUUAUUUUGACUUAUUUUGUAUAUAAUUUAGAAUUAAUAGAUUUGCUUUAUUUUCAA